rnacentral:rRNA from 1 species
UACGUAGGGUGCGAGCGUUGUCCGGAAUUAUUGGGCGUAAAGAGCUCGUAGGCGGUUUGUCGCGUCUGCUGUGAAAUCCCGAGGCUCAACCUCGGGCCUGCAGUGGGUACGGGCAGACUAGAGUGCGGUAGGGGAGAUUGGAAUUCCUGGUGUAGCGGUGGAAUGCGCAGAUAUCAGGAGGAACACCGGUGGCGAAGGCGGGUCUCUGGGCCGUUACUGACGCUGAGGAGCGAAAGCAUGGGGAGCGAACAGG